AAUAUGGUCCUUUUAAGGACUACUUUUCAUUUUCUUAACAAUGUGAU
rfam:Heterocephalus glaber contig149340, whole genome shotgun sequence.